rnacentral:rRNA from 1 species
AACGAACGCUGGCGGCAUGCCUAACACAUGCAAGUCGAACGAGACCUUCGGGUCUAGUGGCGCACGGGUGCGUAACGCGUGGGAAUCUGCCCUUGGGUUCGGAAUAAUAGUUGGAAACGACUGCUAAUACCGGAUGAUGACGUAAGUCCAAAGAUUUAUCGCCCAAGGAUGAGCCCGCGUAGGAUUAGCUAGUUGGUGAGGUAAAGGCUCACCAAGGCGACGAUCCUUAGCUGGUCUGAGAGGAUGAUCAGCCACACUGGGACUGAGACACGGCCCAGACUCCUACGGGAGGCAGCAGUGGGGAAUAUUGGACAAUGGGCGAUAGCCUGAUCCAGCAAUGCCGCGUGAGUGAUGAAGGCCUUAGGGUUGUAAAGCUCUUUUACCCGGGAUGAUAAUGACAGUACCGGGAGAAUAAGCUCCGGCUAACUCCGUG